rnacentral:rRNA from 1 species
CUCCCCCGUUCGCUGACCCCAGGUUCGAUUAGCGCCAAUUAGGCGCCACCUCGCCAAGAACCAGCUUCGGUGAAGCGACGGGCGGUGUGUGCAAGGGAG